UACAGAGGUGGCAAGCGUUGUUCGGAAUUACUGGGCGUAAAGCGUGCGCAGGCGGUGAUGUAAGACAGGUGUGAAAUCCCCGGGCUUAACCUGGGAACUGCAUUUGUGACUGCAUCGCUGGAGUGCGGCAGAGGGGGAUGGAAUUCCGCGUGUAGCAGUGAAAUGCGUAGAUAUGCGGAGGAACACCGAUGGCGAAGGCAAUCCCCUGGGCCUGCACUGACGCUCAUGCACGAAAGCGUGGGGAGCAAACAGG
rnacentral:rRNA from 1 species